UCCGCCCGGGGACUACGAGCUUUAGCUUAAAACCCAAAGGACUUGGCGGUGCCCUAUCCACCUAGAGGAGCCUGUUCUAUAAUCGAUAAUCCACGAUAUACCUCACCAUUUUUUGCCAAAACCGCCUAUAUACCGCCGUCGUCAAUUUACCCUUUGAAGGACCCAUAGUAAGUUAAAAGGUACCCGCCAGAACGUCAGGUCAAGGUGUAGCGAAUGAAAUGGGAAGAAACGGGCUACAUUUUCUAAAAAUAGACUAAACGGAAAAUCAAUAUGAAAUCUGAUCAAGAAGGAGGAUUUAGUAGUAAAAAGAAAUCAGCAAGUUCUUUUUAACAUGGCCCUAGGACGCGCACACACCGCCCGUCACCCUCUUCAACUCUUCUAAUAAUUUACUUAAUUAACUAUCUUGAAGAGGUAAGUCGUAACAUGGUAAGUAUACCGGAAGGUGUACUUGGA
rnacentral:rRNA from 1 species